GUAGAAAGCAAUUCAAUAAACUACCAUACAACACAAAGAUGGAGAGGCAGGUGGUAAUUAGCACUGGGAAAUGCCAUAGGACAGGCUUUUACCUGGAGUGAUGGUGAUACGGUACAGCAAAAUUCUGUGGCGCUGAGCUGCAUUUUGGAUAACCAGUUGGGAUUGGGAUGAUAUUUGGACUCUUCUUCUUUUGGCAUCACCUGUGUCUCACUUGGAUUGAUCCUCAGAUCGACACAACAAAAACUGAGAGAUUACUCAGGCAGAUAUGAUGAAAGAGACCUAAAGAAUAUCAUCUACAUAGUGAAGGCUGCACAAGCUACCUCAAAGCACUACAUGGCAAAAUUAGCAGCACUAGGAGAGGACUUCCUGACACCUGAGUGAGUGGAAUUGGCCACGAUAAAGAGAUGAUGGUGUUUGACCCAAAUGGACUCAGUUUUGUCUGAGGCAAGUGCCACUCCGCCCCCUCCGUUCUCCCCUCUUGGAAGAAAAGGUGAUGUGGGAAUUUUGGAAAGAGAAGAAUAAGUGAAAUGAAAUCACAAUAAGGAGCAAAAUGGUAAAGGACAAGGCAACUCCAGGGGGUGACAGAAAAUAAAAUGUACCAAAACCUCCAGUGUUCCAUACAAUCACUUCAGAGUCUGGGAAUGUUAUUCAGGUCUUUUGAAUGUUCUCUUUCUGUCCCUGCAGAACUGAGACUUCUUUGUCAAAUAUUUCACACUGACUACUUGUGCUGAAGAUAAACCCACAUUUUCAGAUCCAUGAGUCAUGUUUAAGGCCCUACCAAAUUCACUGACCAUUUUGGUCAAUUUCACGGUCAUAAGAUUUUUUAAAUGGUCAAUUUCACUGUUUCAGAUGUUCACAUCUGAAAUUCCAUGCUGUUGUAACCUAUU